AUGGAAGGCCCAGCUUUGCUUCUCUGCCUGCUAGUGUUCUGGCUCCCAGAUACCAUGGGAGACGUUGUGAUGACUCAGUUCCCAGCCUCUCUAUCUUUGUCUCCUGGUCAAAGAUCUUUCUUCACCUGCAAAUCCAGUCAGGAUGUUGGUGACAAUGUAGCCUGGUAUCAGCAGAAACCUGGGCAGGCUCCCAGGCUUCUCGUCUAUGAGGUAUCCAGCAUGGCCAGCGGCAUCCCAGGCCGAUUCAGUGGGAGUGGGUAUAGACAAGCCUACAAUCUUAUUAUCAGCAGUGUGGAAGCUGAAGAUGUUGGAACUUAUUACUGUCAGCAGUAUGAGGAAUACCCUCCCACAGUGUUACAUGCUUGA